UUGGAUAGAAAAAACAAAGUUGGAAUUAAAGGUACUUACAGGGAAAUGAGGAUGAACGUUCAGAGCAUCGUUGCGUGAUUAAAGGUCCAAUCAAGAGUUCGAUCAACGUCUCUCCCCAGUGUUUCUCAGUCUGGACAGAUUCUUCCCUGGCUUCUCCUAUGAUCAGCAUCAACCUUGUGCUGCUGUUGCUGUGCGAGUGAGGGAAAUGCAACGGCUCCGAUUUGGACAAACACCUGGAGAUAAGGAACUUUAAUACCAAAUAUUUUAGCUUGUCCAAUUUGUGUAAAAUUCAGCGACCCGGAUGAUGCCGCCACGUCUAUAACAGUUCCCGCUCACCUGGGAGUGCGUUUGUGGGAAAUGUUUGACAGUCAUGUCGGGAACAGGAAGCAACGAUCUCCAAACUUUUCCCGCAAAGGAGGAUGCAGCCGUCCAAAAGGUGGAACUGCUCCUGCUUAAGUAUUAGAACUUCCCUCUCAGUGGAGCUAAUCCAACUCCUGUGACUGUACUAAAUGUAAAAGAAUGAAUUUUUUUCUUAACUUUUCAGAAAAGUUUGCAACAGUGUUUAACAGAACACAUUUCCAAUCUUCAGACGGCGAAGGAACUCAAAGGCACACAGACGGAGCGACUGGCCUGGAGUCAACCUGAGCUGUCAAAGAAGCUGGAAAGACACCAAAAGGAACAAAAAGAACGAUACUGUUACAAAUAACAUGCUUUUUUCUUUCUUUUUUUUAAAUCAAUUUAGCAUGAAGCUGUAAGCAUGUUGCAUUAUGCAGGCCCACUUCCACAGAGGGGUUCCUGAGCGUCUAGUUAAAGCUGGCAGCUACAACACCGCUCUGUUUGCAUGAGCGAACAUCAGUACAAGUGUUCAUUGCUCCUGAGGUUUCCUGGCAGAGUUAUCUCCCUUACCUCACAAUCUGACAGGAGGGGUACAGGCCAUUAAAAAUCCUGAUUAGCCAGACCCAAGCUCACAACACACACACACACACAAACACGCGAGCAUCCUCCAUAAACAUCUUAUAAACCCCACCCCAGUCGAUAACAAACCCCGUGUGAAUCACCGUGAGCUACAGCAGCAUCAUUUACCUUCAUCUGACCCGUGGUAUUUGAAAAGCAUAAAUCACCUGGGUUUUCUUUUUUUUUUUUUUACAUUUUUUUAUGCCGGCUUGUUGGAUGUGUUGAAACCGAAUGUGUAAUUUGUCACGCUAUCAGCAUCCAAACCACUAUCGGAGUACCCACAGAGAAUAACCUGUGUUCUCUGUGGUUGCACAACUGCACUUAAGCGACGGAGAGAAAACACUUUUCAAACAAAAGGAGACAUGCUAAGCUUGUUUUUUUUUUUCUUUUAAUCUUUAUUUUAUUUCAGUCAACAGCUUGUUCAUUAUAAAAAUAUCACUAUAUGUCUGUAGAAUCACUGUUUAUAAACAUUUCUGCUUUUUAAAGAAAUCUGCACUAUACAAUGAAAUGAAUCCCUUGUAAAACAUCGGUCUAAAAAUAGAAUAAAAAUAGCAAAGACAUAAUUAUCAGUUCAAUUUGAUCUCUAUCAAAACAGCAUGCACUCAGAUUCAGCACCCCGGAGGCACAUCAUUUGUUUUGCUUAUUUAAAAAUAAUAAUAAUAAUAAUAAUAAAAAAAAAAAAAAGAUUUACAGUGUUCG